UUCGCAUGAAACUUAUAUAAAAGGAGCCUUUAAAGCUCCGCUGAGAGAUCGGGGUGCGCAACAUUAGCUAGUUGGUGAGGUAACGGCCCACCAAGGCGAUGAUGUUUAGCGGGGUUGAGAGACUGAACCGCCACACUGGGACUGAGAUACGGCCCAGACUCCUACGGGAGGCAGCAGUAGGGAAUAUUCCACAAUGAGCGAAAGCUUGAUGGAGCGACACAGCGUGCAGGAUGAAGGUCCUAUGGAUUGUAAACUGCUGUGGUAAGGGAAGAAAAAGUCAUAGAGGAAAUGCUAUGACAUUGACGGUACCUUAUUAGAAAGCAACGGCUAACUAUGUGCCAGCAGCCGCGGUAAUACAUAGGUUGCAAGCGUUAUCCGGAAUUAUUGGGCGUAAAGCGUCUGUAGGUUGUUUGUUAAGUCUGGCGUCAAAUUUUGGGGCUCAACCCCAAACCGCGUUGGAUACUGGCAAACUAGAGUUGUGUAGAGGUUAGCGGAAUUCCUUGUGAAGCGGUGAAAUGCGUAGAUAUAAGGAAGAACACCAUUUUGGCGAAGGCGGCUAACUGGGCAUAUACUGACACUGAGAGACGAAAGCGUGGGGAGCAAACAGGAUUAGAUACCCUGGUAGUCCACGCCCUAAACGAUGAUCAUUAGCUGAUGGAGAUCGUCGGCGCAGCUAACGCAUUAAAUGAUCCGCCUGAGUAGUACGUUCGCAAGAAUAAAACUUAAAGGAAUUGACGGG
rnacentral:rRNA from 1 species